CAGUAGCCGCGGUAAUACGAAGGGUGCGAGCGUUAAUCGGAAUUACUGGGCGUAAAGCGUGCGUAGGCGGUUUGUUAAGUCUGUUGUGAAAUCCCCGGGCUCAACCUGGGAAUGGCAGUGGAUACUGGCAAGCUAGAGUGUGUCAGAGGAUGGUGGAAUUCCCGGUGUAGCGGUGAAAUGCGUAGAGAUCGGGAGGAACAUCAGUGGCGAAGGCGGCCAUCUGGGACAACACUGACGCUGAGGCACGAAAGCGUUGGGAGCAAACAGGAUUAGAUACCCCUGUAGUCCCUGUCUCUUAUAC
rnacentral:rRNA from 1 species